CUGAAUGUGUUAGUUCAUUGUCUGUCAUUACUAUAUGCGAAAAUACAUAAAAACUGUACAGUAAACUUUCAUUUUUAUCAAAUUGGUCGUAUACGAGCAAUUUAUGAAAGGUUUCACGAGUCCUUUUAUAAACGUGACCCCCUCAGAUUUAUUGAAAUGUCUACUAUACCAAUUUAUAUGGAAACUUGAGGCCAUAAUGUCAGUGUCUUUUUUUUGGGGCGCAUGCUAUUUAAAGAGUUUGCUAACAAAGAGAAUAUUAAAAUUUAUUUAUGUCGAAAUAAAAAAAAAAUUAUUCGAGGAAAAUAAUAUAUAGGAAAAAUUUAAUCAUAAAUAAACAAUAAAAUAAAUAAUUAAAAAAAAUUGCAAUACACAUACAAUGCAAAUAAAUGUCAGCAUUAUCAGUCUUUAAAGUCGGUAAUUUUUUCAUGAAUCUUAUAAUAUUCGCUUGCAUGAAUAAAGAAGUAUCAUUUAAAAAAAAAAUUAUUUAAAAUUCAAAUUUUAAAAUAUAUUUCUUUAAAAUGAGUUAUAAAUUUUUUGCCCUCUUUUCGAUAUUUUGCAUCAUGUUUGUGAUAGAAUUUGGCCAAUCAAAUGGACAACCAAACCGAAUUUGUAGACUGCCAAUAGAGACUGGUGCAUGCCCAGGAAGAUUUCCACGAUAUGCAUAUGUUGUUAGACAAAGAUCAUGUCAACGAUUUAUUUGGACUGGAUGUGAAGGAAAUUCAAAUAGUUUUGACACAAAACUUAAGUGCGAA